GUUUUUUUCCACAAGUAGUAAUAAUUAUAUUUCAAGACUUUUACUAUACUAUCUAUCAAUGGCUAGCCAACAACCACCUCGUCCAUUGUUCCGUUUUGCUUCCAUGGUUCGUCCGGCUGCACAACCUCCUCCAGCUUCUGCUCCACCAGCACCAUCCCCACAACCGAUGUUUCGACCUACCACCCCAUUUAGGCCUGCCUCACCAGCAGUUACUGCUCCACAGCCCCCUCAACCUCCAGUACCUACUGCUGCUACUCCUGUUGCAGUAGUUACUGCACCACCGCAACCACAAGCGCCAGCCCCAGGUAGCCCCAUUUCACCACAGAGGCGUCAACCUGCUGAGGUAACUUCACCACCAAGAUCACCUGUAGCUCCUCCUCCUCAAUCUGUUGUUUCGCCACCAAAGGC
rnacentral:misc_RNA from 1 species